GACGAACGCUGGCGGCGUGCUUAACACAUGCAAGUCGAGCGGUAAGGCCCUUUCGGGGGUACGACGAGCGGCGAACGGGUGAGUAACACGUGGGUGACCUGCCCUCAGCUCUGGGAGUAAGCCCGGGAAACUGGGUCUAAUACCGGAUAUGACUCCAUGACGCAUGUUGUGGGGUGGAAAGCCUUGUGCGGCUGAGGAGUCGGGCCCGGCGGCCUAUCAGCUUGUUGGGUGGGGUGA
rnacentral:rRNA from 1 species